CCACGUCCCAAUCACGAAAGACGUCCUGAUCCUGCACAGUAAACACGACAAACACCACAAGCUUGACGGCCGGACCGCCGGGGGAUAGCUCAGGCGUGAGAGUAAGUAUGUCUGUUCACAAGGUUAACUCAAGAGGAUGAUAAAAUCUAGUGUGAUGAGAGAGAUUAUUAUUAUCAGUUGUGUGAAUGUGAAUAUAUGAAAAACAUACCUUCCUCUAAAGACUUACUCGCCAGGAUAUAUAUCUUUACUUGGAUUACUGUGCUACCCAAUAUCAUCUGACAUAUCCCCCUGAUCUGAUGGGUUCUGCCGACUGCAUGGAACUUAUCCACUGCUUUUGGUCACUGUUUACACCGCCGGCCGGCUAUAAUCCCAUCCACAUUAAUGCAUAGCAG
rnacentral:lncRNA from 1 species